UUAAAGUGAUAAAAACGUGACCAAAGUGACCAAAGAAAGCUUAGAAAUGGAUUUAAUAUUUUUCUAAAAUACAGUUUUCUAGAUAAUUUUGACUCAAAAGCCUAAACUUCUUUCAUUCAAUCAAUUUAUACAUCUUUCAACAUUUUAAAACUUAUAAUCUGCGUGGAUUUAUCAUAUAACAAAUAUGGUGUAAAUGUUCUAUAUUUCUAAAUGAUCUUUAAGCUUCUAAAAUCUCUCUGUCUUGUGUUUUGAUGCUUCUCUUCUUCUUUCUUGGACACCUAGAAAAGAGGAUUAUGGGUUGAAAGAGGAAAAGUGGAAGUAUGUCAAAGAAGAAAGACUCCAUUAUAGUGAGCUAAUCUCAAGUAUACAUGUAUAUUGUGAUGCAUGGAUCAGAGGACGUUAUGGAUUCAUACAUGAUUGCUGUGUCCCAGGAGAACUCCAAAGUGACUUCUUUCUCCGUAAGACCUACUCAUGAAACAACAAUGUGAGACAGAGAAUGGAUAAUUCAAUAUUUUUCUGUGCAUCUCUUUUCUUGUCCUUCAAAAGUAUCUUGAAAAAUAUUAGGAUUUUU
rnacentral:lncRNA from 1 species